GGAUAGCUCAGUCGGUAGAGCAUGAGUCUCUUAAUCUCAGGGUUGUGGGUUUGAGCACAGGAUGCAACCCAUGGUCUCCG